rnacentral:lncRNA from 1 species
GGCGAGCUGCCGCAGUGCGUGUGGUGGGUGCAGCGCGACGCCGGCGUCUUCCAGUUCAGCUCGCGCCACAAGGAGACGCUGGCGCGGGCCUGGGGCCGCCGCAAGGGCAACCGGCGCGCCAUGACCUACCCCAAGCUGGCGCGCGCCCUGCGCACCUACGCCCGCACCGGCGAGGUGCGCAAGGUGCGCCGCAAGCUCACCUACCGCUUCGGCCCCGCGCUGCUGCCCCCCGCCCCGCGCGGCCCUGCUGGCGCCGGCAACCCCGCGGGAGGUCCCGCUGCCACCGUCGGCCCCGUGGCAGGUCUCACGGGAGAUCCUGGUGACGCCAUCCGGCCUGUAGGAGGUCCCGCUGCCACCGUCGGCCCCAUGGCAGGUCUCACGGGUGGCGCUGGUGGCACCGGGAACCCCAUAGGAGGUCCACUGGGUGGCCCUGGUGGCACCGUCAACACCGUGGGAGGUCUCGCGGGUGGCCCUGGCGGCAUCGUCAGCCUCAUAGGAGGUCUCAUAGGUGGCCCUGGUGGCAUCGUCAACCCCAUGGGAGGUCCCACGGGUGGCCCUGGUGGCACCAUCAACCCCAUAGGAGGUCCCCUGGGUGGCCCUGGUGGCAUCAUGAACCCUAGAGGAGGUCCCACAUGUGGCCCCGGUGGCACCGUGAGCUCCAUGGGGUGUCCCAUGGGUGGCCCCAGGGCUGAUGUGCCCCAUGCGGGGUGUCCCUUGGGUGGCCCUGGUGGCUCUGUCAGCCCUAUAGGGUGCCCCACAGGUGGCCCUGGUGGCCCCGUGAGCCCCAUGGGGUGCCCCAUAGGUAGCCCUGGUGACCCUGGUGGCCCUGUGAGCACCAUGGGAUGCCCCAUAGGUGGCCCUGGUGGCCCCAUGAGCCCCAUGGGGUGCCCCAUAGGUAGCCCUGAUGGCCCCGGUGGCCCUGUGAGCCCCAUGGGGUGCCCCAUAGGUGGCCCUGGUGGCCCCGGUGGCCCUGUGAGCCCCAUGGGGUGCCCCAUUGGUGGCCCUGGUGACCUGGUGAGCCCCAUGGGGUGCCCCAUAGGCAUCCCCCUGCCCCCCUAGUGCCCCCCCUCACUGCACUGACCCCCCGCCCACCUGGGGUGGGGGUGGGGCCCGGACGCCUGGGCCCUCUGUAUUUAUUGCCCCCCCCCAGGUGGAGGUGGCUGAAAAAUUUUAUAAAUUCUCAAUAAAAUGGGCAAAAGAGACA